rnacentral:rRNA from 1 species
AGUCGAACGAAGCACAGAUGUAGAAUUUCUUCGGAAAGGAAGCGCCUGUGACUGAGUGGCGGACGGGUGAGUAACGCGUGGGCAACCUGCCCCAUACCGGGGGACAACAGCUGGAAACGGCUGCUAAUACCGCAUACGUUUUCGGUGCCGGCAUGGCGCCGAAAAGAAAACUCCGGUGGUAUGGGAUGGGCCCGCGUCUGAUUAGCUAGUUGGGAGGGUAACGGCCUACCAAGGCGACGAUCAGUAGCCGGCCUGAGAGGGCGACCGGCCACAUUGGGACUGAGACACGGCCCAGACUCCUGCGGGAGGCAGCAGUGGGGAAUAUUGCACAAUGGGGGAAACCCUGAUGCAGCGACGCCGCGUGAGCGAAGAAGUACCUCGGUAUGUAAAGCUCUAUCAGCAGGGAAGAAAGUGACAGUACCUGACUAAGAAGCCCCGGCUAACUACGUGCCAGCAGCCGCGGUAAUACGUAGGGGGUAAGCGUUAUCCGGAUUCACUGGGCGUAAAGGGAGCGCAGGCGGCGCGGCAAGUCUGAUGUGAAAGCCCGGGGCUCAACCCCGGGUCUGCAUUGGAAACUGUCGAGCUAGAGUGUCGGAGGGGUAAGCGGAAUUCCUAGUGUAGCGGUGAAAUGCGUAGAUAUUAGGAGGAACACCAGUGGCGAAGGCGGCUUACUGGACGAUGACUGACGCUGAGGCUCGAAAGCGUGGGGAGCCAACAAGGUUAGAUACCCUGGUAGUCCACGCCGUA